AAGACAUUAAGAAUAAAAUCUUUUAAUGAAGAAAACAGCCUUGAAACAUUAACCAAAGGAGCAGAAGCAACGUUUGCCUCAUGCUGGAAAGAUGUACUUUAACCUUCACCUUAGAAGUGAGCAGCUGAAAACUUUGUACUUCAGCAUCAUUUGUGCCAGUUUUCUAUGGUAAACAGACCUCCGUGAUGACGCUCCCACUUCUUAUCUGGGACAGAUUUCAACUUCUGAACCAGCAGUCAACAAAGAUUCCCCCAGCUGCUGGGAAAAAAGAGGACAAUGCCACUUCUCCCACCUGCAGGGAAGGACUGUAUACUGUCUUCCUCCCAGGGCAUGUGGUUGAACCUCCGAUCAACGCAACGUACAAGAGGAGGUCCAACUCCAGGAAGCAAAGGGUUUGCUGCAGAUAUCUGCCCUGUUAGCCUGAGAACAAGCAACACGAGAUCUGCAACACGAUGCAUUGCACAGAUACGCCCCACGGCACCAGCUUGCAGGAACAACUUGGAGCAGCCCAAAAGUGGAGUUGAAAAGAGGGUCGCUGAGACAAGGUUGCUGCUGCCUGGGCAGUUUAUCCAUGACAGCCCUCUCUCAUGGGAGUCCUUCAGGAGCUUACAGGAGCCAGGCUGUAGGCCAGAUGAAAUCCCCUGGGAGCACUGAGGAGCAGUCACACCUGCGCCAAGAGAAGAGAGCCCCGGGAAAGGCACAGGCUGGGAGAGCACAACUUGAGCCCUCUGUCCAAAACAGGGGAGGUAGUAUCUCUUCCUUGUGUGAAAGCACCUUAUAUUUCACUCAUGUAUUACCAUAAGAAGUACAUCACGAGCUACGAAUGGUAAAGUGUGGGAAAGAAACCCAAAUAAAUUACUUUGCUUAGUCUUAACUAAUCUAUUAAAAGGCAGCUCAGACGGUGUAGAAGACUACAAUAGCAGACACACAACUGCAGGAUGUUGGGUUGACAAAACAAACAAAACUAGAAGUCUGAAAUUUAACAAAGUUUUAUACCAGUGUCUAUUUUUUGCUCUGCUUGGAUAGUGACUCCUUCCACAAGUCAUAUCAGGAACGUAAGCAGCAUGUCAGUCCACCAUCCUCAUUACAUCAGACAGCAGAUACUGGAAAGGAAGAUGACUAUUUACUCCCUAAUGAUUUUGCUUCCAUUUUGAUAGCUUAAUAGAUGACAGGUUUCUUCUCCACUCACAGAACUAAUCAGAGAUGUUGCUAUUUUAUACUAGAUUUUUGUUACACGGUGAAGAUAUAAAAAAAAGUGAGCACUGAAAAUUAUUUUGGCCUGAGUAAAUGCAAGUUGAUUCAGCUUAUGCUACUUGGGCGAAUACAAAAACCAGCACCUGUAACUGAGAUGUUUCCUUUCAAAAGGGCAAACUGAGAAAAUUAUUAAUAAAAUCAACAACAAAGCUUUAAAAAUACAGAUCUAAUGUCUUUUCACCGUUUGUUCUAAGUAAAUUUUAUGCCUCUUACAGUGUGAUUUGUUUCACAUUAUAUAAAUCUUUAAUUUCAAUAAAAAAUGUACACUAUAAUAGUUUAGAUAAUACACAAAAGUAAUUUCAUAUCUCAUUAAAAACUAUUAUGUUUUCUGCAUUGCAUGUGUGCUUGAUUCACUGCAACUUUGCUGCUUUUAUGCUGGUGUAGCUUCUUUGAUCAAGUAAAAUUUGAGUAAGUGACAGCAGCACAGGAA